GGAUGUGAGGGCGAUCUGACUGCGACAUCUGUCACCCCGUUGACUGCUGAUCUGGCUAGCUAGGCAAGUGUCUCCUUCCUCCCUCACCAUUCCAUGUGCAUGCUCUGUCGAGGAAGAUAGCCUUCCCCAAAUAAGCUCUCAAAAUAAAAGAAAGGGAAUAAAGAAA
rnacentral:snRNA from 1 species